UACGUAGGGUCCGAGCGUUGUCCGGAAUUACUGGGCGUAAAGAGCUCGUAGGUGGUUUGUCACGUUGUUCGUGAAAACCCACAGCUCAACUGUGGGCGUGCGAGCGAUACGGGCAGACUAGAGUACUGCAGGGGAGACUGGAAUUCCUGGUGUAGCGGUGGAAUGCGCAGAUAUCAGGAGGAACACCGGUGGCGAGGGCGGGUCUCUGGGCAGUAACUGACGCUGAGGAGCGAAAGCGUGGGGAGCGAACAGG
rnacentral:rRNA from 1 species